AGCGGGUUAGAGUAAUGGUUAACUUCUCGGCUCAUAAAUCUGAAGACUGCAGGUUUCGAAUCCUGCCCGCCU
rnacentral:tRNA from 1 species